rfam:Aspergillus bombycis strain NRRL26010 contig00116, whole genome shotgun sequence.
UGAGUCCUCCGACGUGGCACAACAUCCUGCAGCGGUGUUGUGUGACCUGCAGUGUCCGUCGCUGGGCUCG